CCUACGGGAGGCAGCAGUAGGGAAUAUUGCUCAAUGGGGGCAACCCUGAAGCAGCAACGCCGCGUGGAGGAUGAAGGUUCUCGGAUUGUAAACUCCUUUUGUUAGAGAAGAUAAUGACGGUAUCCAACGAAUACGCACCGGCUAACUCCGUGCCAGCAGCCGCGGUUAUACGGCGGGUGCAAGCGUUACUCGGAAUCACUGGGCGUAAAGAGCGCGUAGGCGGGUUAGCAAGUCAGAUGUUAAAUCCUAUGGGUUAACCAUAGAACUGCAUUUGAAACUGGUAUUCUAGAGUAAGGGAGAGGUAGGUGGAAUGCGUGGUGUAGGGGUAAAAUCCGUAGAGAUCAAGAAGAAUACUCAUUGCGAAGGCGACCUGCUAGAACAUAACUGACGCUGAUGCGCGAAAGCGUGGGGAGCAAACAGGAUUAGAUACCCGAGUAGUC
rnacentral:rRNA from 1 species